GGGUUGUUAGCUCAGUUGGUAGAGCAGCUGACUCUUAAUCAGCGGGUCGGGGGUUCAAAACCCUCACAACCCA
rnacentral:tRNA from 1 species